UGCUUUUAAUCAUCCAGCUGGUCUUCUUAGUUGUUGAGAUCUACAAGAAAAAAAUUUGAGACCAUGUUUUCCUUGACCUUUGACCAAACUACUCCAAAAUAUAAUCACCUCUAGAUAUCUAUCCAGGUAAUAUUCCCACCAAGUUUGAUGCAAAUCCAUCCAGCCUUUUUUGAGUAAUCU